AAUGGGGGCAACCCUGAUCCAGCCAUGCCGCGUGAGUGAAGAAGGCCCUAGGGUCGUAAAACUCUUUCGCCUGUGAUGAUAAUGACAGUAGCAGGUAAAGAAACCCCGGCUAACUCCGUGCCAGCAGCCGCGGUAAUACGGAGGGGGUUAGCGUUGUUCGGAAUUACUGGGCGUAAAGCGCACGUAGGCGGAUUAGAAAGUUAGAGGUGAAAUCCCGGGGCUCAACCCCGGAACUGCCUUUAAAACUACUAGUCUAGAGUUCGAGAGAGGUGAGUGGAAUUCCGAGUGUAGAGGUGAAAUUCGUAGAUAUUCGGAGGAACACCAGUGGCGAAGGCGGCUCACUGGCUCGAUACUGACGCUGAGGUGCGAAAGUGUGGGGAGCAAACAGGAUU
rnacentral:rRNA from 1 species